GAAUCAACGCGAGAUUAACGGCAGUAAUCAUAGUGACGUGACAUCAUUUGUAGAGGGUUACUGUAGCUUAAUUAUGCGGACGUCACACAGAGGACCACCCUCCAACAUGCAGGUUUGUCCCUUCCUCUCCUCUCGGCACUAGGUGCAUGCAGCCCAUAAUUAAGGAAACGGUGAGGCAGGCGACCAUCAGGCUGCCGAGGUAAAUGACCGGCUACCUAUUUAUUCUCCUAUGCCAUGACUCUGUGCCUUGGACGACCAUCUGGCAGCUCUCAUGACCGCUCGUGAGAUUUGUUCAGCAUGUAUGUAGAUCACCACCAACAGGAUCAUGUGGUUCACCAUGCUCCGCAGUACCUCCAUGUCAUCUUUCUUGGAAGAAGUAAUCAGCAGAAUCACCAUCUUCCUGGAAAAUAGCAUCCACCAGAGGACCAUAACGGUGACGGGCGCGAGACGUAGGUUUUUGGGCAAGAGAUUCCAAUCAGUAGGCAUGAAGCUCAACGUUUGGGGGCAAGAGAUUCCAAUCGAGAGAACAAAGAACUCACCAGUUCAAAAUCUGGACCCCUUGGUUAUAACAAACACCAACUCCAGACAUUACAAGAAACUGAAGAAAUACAUACCAGUGCCUGAAGCCGAACGAUAAACAACGCUCCCUUGAGUUACAUGUCAAACAUGAGAUAUUGCGUGUAUGUCAAGGAGUUGCGCCAGUACAAGAUCAUCCCGUGGAGUAGUUAGUUAGCUAGAAUACUAUGUAAUCUUUAUCUUUCUUAUCUCUAGUAUUCUUUCUCUCCAAGAGAUGUAUCCCAACAACCUGUACGCGUAUUCGGGCUCGCAACCCAGCUAUUUAACACGCAACACGUCUGGCCAGGAAAGCCAAGACG